AUUGAACGCUAGCGGGAUGCCUUACACAUGCAAGUCGAACGGAGUGGCGAACGGGUGAGUAAUGUAUCGGAACGUGCCCAGUAGCGGGGGAUAACUACGCGAAAGCGUAGCUAAUACCGCAUACUAUUGGAGCGGCCGAUGUCGGAUUAGCUGGUUGGUGGGGUAACGGCCCACCAAGGCGAUGAUCAGUAGCCGGUCUGAGAGGAUGAACGGCCACAUUGGGACUGAGACACGGCCCAGACUCCUACGGGAGGCAGCAGUGGGGAAUGUUGGGCAAUGGGGGAAACCCUGACCCAGCAAUCCCGCGUGUGCGAUGAAGGCCUUCGGGUUGUAAAGCACUUUUGUUAGCGAGGCGUUAACUACAGAAGAAGCACCGGCUAACUCCGUGCCAGCAGCCGCGGUAAUAC
rnacentral:rRNA from 1 species